UAAGGCAAUAUAUAGGCUAUAGUGCAAAAUAAUUACAAUUAGAAUUAACAGGAGAGUGUGUGUGUGUGUAAGAUUGAACAAUGGAAGCAUGGCCCUGAUCGCAGCAGGAAACACUUCCAGGUCAGAGUUCAUCAAACACCUGAAGAGAUACAACAAGUGUAAACAAUCAGGGUACAUCCCCAACUCCUGACACUGUUUGGAGUGGACAUCGAGGAGGCAGAGGAGGCACACAUCAAGUGCAGCUGCAUUUAACACUGUCUGUAGACACGAAGUGAUACCAUUUAAAACUGACACAUUAAAUAGAAAAAGUUCAUUUAUAUAAAAGCAAAGACAACAUAAUAACACAUUCCAGUGCACAAUUACAUACAUUAUCAGACCAAAGCAAAAUGUGUUGACAAACAAAAUGUUGUCUGUCCAUUUUUACACACCACACACUUAUUUAUUAAAAUUAAAAUUUUAUUUUAUUGAAAAAAAAA